UGAAACCUGUUUUUCUUUGCGAUGACACAAUGGGUGUUGAGGUUAUAAUCAGACAUGUGUUCAGAGGUUUCCUCUGCCAGGCUGGAGGCGGGGAUCCACGCCCACAAACGCGCAUGCCCCGCUCUCAUUUGCGCAGAAGCCUUCUGAUGGAAAGGGCGGUCGAUUCAACUGCACGCGUCUGGCGUGUACCACAUUUCUGUACCACAUUUCACAAGCUGGCUUGGAUGUGCAGAGCUCUGUUUAGGAUGAUGACGCCAAGAAGAUGGAGAUGAAGAAAGUGCUAAUGAGAGGACCUGCAGUACUCUAUGUACAGGACCAGCGGAGGGUGGGAAAGGUCAGACUUCAGUUUUCUCACCAAAACUUGGGACUGCUCAUCCCUCUGCGGCUACUAGGUGAACAAUGUGGAUGCACAGAGACAGGAGCAGGUCAGCAGUGUGAGUUAAUUGUGGGAGGUGAAGUUGGUGAACAAGUCCAUUUUUAAUUGACCAAAAUCUGUGUAGAAUGUACUUGCCUUACAAUCAAAUGAGGAAAAACCUUUCACCUACAUAUUUUCAGUCUAACUUGAUAGCCAUACAGUACAAAUAUUUGUCAAUAACUUCAUUUGAGACAUAUUUUACAGCCAUUGAUUUAUA